CAUGCAAGUCGAGGGGUAACAGGGAAAAGCUUGCUUUUCCGCUGACGACCGGCGCACGGGUGCGUAACACGUAUGCAACCUACCUCUUACUGAGGAAUAGCCCAGAGAAAUUUGGAUUAAUACCUCAUAGUAUCACCAGUUCGCAUGUUCAGGUGAUUAAAGGUUACGGUAAGAGAUGGGCAUGCGCCCCAUUAGCUAGUUGGUGAGGUAAUAGCUCACCAAGGCAACGAUGGGUAGGGGGUCUGAGAGGACUAUCCCCCACACUGGUACUGAGACACGGACCAGACUCCUACGGGAGGCAGCAGUGAGGAAUAUUGGACAAUGGAGGCAACUCUGAUCCAGCCAUGCCGCGUGCAGGAUGACUGCCCUAUGGGUUGUAAACUGCUUUUAUAUAGGAAGAAACACUCCCACGUGUGGGGGCUUGACGGUACUAUAUGAAUAAGGAUCGGCUAACUCCGUGCCAGCAGCCGCGGUAAUACGGAGGAUCCAAGCGUUAUCCGGAAUCAUUGGGUUUAAAGGGUCCGCAGGCGGCCUGUUAAGUCAGAGGUGAAAGCCAACAGCUCAACUGUUGAACUGCCUUUGAUACUGAUAGGCUUGAGUUAUUGUGAAGUGGUUAGAAUGUGUGGUGUAGCGGUGAAAUGCUUAGAUAUCACACAGAAUACCCAUUGCGAAGGCAGAUCACUAACAAUAUACUGACGCUCAUGGACGAAAGCGUGGGGAGCGAACGGGAUUAGAUACCCCGGUAGUCCACGCCGUAAACGAUGGAUACUAACUGUUCGACCUUCGGGUUGAGUGGUCAAGCGAAAGUGAUAAGUAUCCCACCUGGGGAGUACGCUCGCAAGGGUGAAACUCAAAGGAAUUGACGGGGGCCCGCACAAGCGGUGGAGCAUGU
rnacentral:rRNA from 1 species